rnacentral:rRNA from 1 species
CAACGAAUAUUCCGCAAUGGACGAAAGUCUGACGGAGCGACGCCGCGUGUAGGACGAAGCACCUCGGUGUGUAAACUACUGUCAGGGAUUAGGAAGCAAGUGACCAAUCCCAAAGGAAGCCCCGGCUAACUCCGUGCCAGCAGCCGCGGUAAUACGGAGGGGGCAAGCGUUGUUCGGAAUUACUGGGCUUAAAGCGUGUGUAGGCGGAAUGGAAGGUACUGUGUGAAAGCCCUCGGCUCAACCGGGGAAUUGCACGGUAAACCGUCAUUCUUGAGGCCAGCAGGGGUACCUGGAACUUUGGGUGGAGCGGUGAAAUGCGUAGAUAUCCAAGGGAACGCCGGUGGCGAAAGCGGGGUACUGGGCUGGUUCUGACGCUGAGACACGAAAGCGUGGGGAGCAAACAGGAUUAGAUACCCCCGUAGUCC